rnacentral:rRNA from 1 species
CCUACGGGUGGCAGCAGUGGGGAAUAUUGCACAAUGGGGGAAACCCUGAUGCAGCGACGCCGCGUGAGUGAAGAAGUAAUUCUUUACGUAAAGCUCUAUCAGCAGGGAAGCAAAUGACGGUACCUGAGUCCGAAGUCCCGGGUAAAUACGUGCCAGCAGCCGCGGUAAUCCUGCGGGGGCAGGCGUUAUUCGGAAUUACUGGGGGUAAAGGGGGAGUAGAUGGUGCGCCAAGUCUGGAGUGAAAUGCCGCAGGUUAACUGCGGAACUGCCUUGGAAACUGGCGAACUAGAGUGCGAGAGGGGUAAGCGGAAUUCCUAGUGUAGCGGUGAAAUGCGUAGAUAUUAGGAAGAACACCGGUGGCGAAGGCGGCUUACUGGACCGUAACUGACGUUGAGGCUCGAAAGCGUGGGGAGCAAACAGGAUUAGAUACCCCAGUAGUC